CCUACGGGGGGCAGCAGUGGGGAAUAUUGCACAAUGGGGGAAACCCUGAUGCAGCGACGCCGCGUGAGUGAAGAAGUAUUUCGGUACGUAAAGCUCUAUCAGCAGGGAAGAAAAAAAGUCCUUUGGACUUUGGACGGUACCUGACCAAGAAGCCCCGGCUAACUACGUGCCAGCAGCCGCGGUAAUACGUAGGGGGCAAGCGUUAUCCGGAUUUACUGGGUGUAAAGGGAGCGUAGACGGCUGUGCAAGCCAGAUGUGAAAGCCCGGGGCUCAACCCCGGGACUGCAUUUGGAACUGUGUGGCUG
rnacentral:rRNA from 1 species